GACCAUCUCAGCAUAGAUACAGCUCUAACAUAAGAUUAUGACCCACUAGAUUAUUCUCGCUUAGCGUCAACAAACAUAAAAGUGGAACAUCAUGUUUUUCGCUAGUACAUGCGGACUAUAACCUUCUCACAACCGGCAAUGAAAAUCCUCACUGUACAAGAAUAAUAAAAUCCUAAGCAUUCUCAUUCAGUGUGCUGUGGUGUGUACCUUCGUCUCUACAAGCAAUUCGAGUGCAAGGGAAAACAAGUUUCUCUUUCAACCUCCAACUUCUCCAUAAUAUUAAAUUGUCAUCUCAAACUUUGUCUCAGAUGUCACAAACAGAUUAUUGCCAAAGGAUAUCAGGAACCAGUGCAAAAAGCAGUAAGGAUAUCAGGAACCAGGGCAAAAUGCAGUCUUUCCCUUUCCUAUGUAACUAUGGCACACCUUCAUCACCAUUACAGGAGUAUUUCCAGGAUGUUUUCUGACACGAACAUCCCCUUUACCCAAGUCCAGAGGAGGA
rnacentral:misc_RNA from 1 species